AUGCACGCUGGCGGCGUGCCUAAUACAUGCAAGUCGAGCGAACAGACGAGGAGCUUGCUCCUUUGACGUUAGCGGCGGACGGGUGAGUAACACGUGGGUAACCUACCUAUAAGACUGGGAUAACUUCGGGAAACCGGAGCUAAUACCGGAUAAUAUUUCGAACCGCAUGGUUCGAUAGUGAAAGAUGGCUUUGCUAUCACUUAUAGAUGGACCUGCGCCGUAUUAGCUAGUUGGUAAGGUAACGGCUUACCAAGGCAACGAUACGUAGCCGACCUGAGAGGGUGAUCGGCCACACUGGAACUGAGACACGGUCCAGACUCCUACGGGAGGCAGCAGUAGGGAAUCUUCCGCAAUGGGCGAAAGCCUGACGGAGCAACGCCGCGCGAGUGAUGAAGGUCUUCGGAUCGUAAAACUCUGUUAUUAGGGAAGAACAAACGUGUAAGUAACUGUGCACGUCUUGACGGUACCUAAUCAGAAAGCCACGGCUAACUACGUG
rnacentral:rRNA from 1 species